rnacentral:rRNA from 1 species
UACGUAGGGCGCGAGCGUUGUCCGGAAUUAUUGGGCGUAAAGAGCUCGUAGGUGGCUUGUUGCGUCUGCCGUGAAAGCCCGUGGCUUAACUACGGGUCUGCGGUGGAUACGGGCAGGCUAGAGGCUGGUAGGGGCAAGCGGGAAUUCCUGGUGUAGCGGUGAAAUGCGCAGAUAUCAGGAGGAACACCGGUGGCGAAGGCGGCUUGCUGGGCCAGUUCUGACGCUGAGGAGCGAAAGCGUGGGGAGCGAACAGG